rnacentral:snRNA from 1 species
GUGCUCACUUCGGCAGCACAUAUACUAAAAUUGGAAUGAUACAGAAAAGAUCAGCAUGGCCCCUGUGCAAGGAUGACACGAAUUAUUCUUUUGUAUGCAGCAGCAAAAUAUU